rnacentral:rRNA from 1 species
GACGAACGCUGGCGGCGUGCUUAACACAUGCAAGUGGAGCGACGAACCGGGGCUUGCCCCGGGGCAGAGCCGCGAACGGGUGAGUAACACGUGGGUAACCCACCCCGAUGACCGGGACAACCCGAGGAAACUCGGGCUAAUACCGGAUGUGCUCCUUGACCUCGAGGUCAAGGCGUAAAGAUAGCUUCGGCCUUCGCAAUCGGGACGGGCCCGCGGCCCAUUAGCUUGUUGGUGGGGUAAAGGCCUACCAAGGCGACGANGGGUAGCUGGUCUGAGAGGACGAUCAGCCACACUGGGACUGAGACACGGCCCAGACUCCUACGGGAGGCAGCAGUGGGGAAUCUUGCGCAAUGCGCGAAAGCGUGACGCAGCAACGCCG